CAGCCUGCUGGAGUCCAGCUGUAUGCAGUCACCGCGAGCAGAUCCAGCCCUCCAAUGGCCAGGGAAUAAAAGACUCACCGCCAACAUCAGCAGAGCUUCUGUUUUGGAAGUUUCCUUGGAGAAAGAGCCAAAUCAACCCAAACACUGGAAAAGCUACCAGAGGCAAAGCACUGGUCCUUCUUUAAAGGCCUUCCUUACCAAUACUGGCCCAGCAAUCACACUGCCAUCUCUCAAGGAAUCCUUUCAGUGGACCUGCCAGCGUUUCCUUCAUCACUCCUUUCUUUACCAUCUUCC